CCCUGUGGACAGAGAUCACACAAGCUCAGUCUGGUCAAUCUUCUCCAGGAAAAGACAGGUAGACAAUUUACAAUUAUCAGAAACAAUAUUCUAAACACUCAGACAGGAUGAAGAGAUUAGAGCAGAUGAGAGAUGGACUGGUUUCAAGAAGGUGGAAAAAAAGCUUUUUGGAGGAAAGAUGAGGGAGGGACAUGUAUAAAGCUCUUGAGGCAUCAAAAAAAAAUUAAAAAGUGCCUGUUC